AUUCCAGGUAGUGACUGAUGGGACAGGUGGGACUUGCUGCUCUUGCGAGAGCACAUAAGUCAGUGUCUGUGCUGCUAUUUGAGUUUUUACCUGAUAAAUACAAAGUGAGACAACUUCCCCCUUGAAUUUAUACAAUAAUGAAGAAAAACAACUCUGAGAUGUUCCUUAAUUUGUGAGCACUCACUAUAAAGUCCUCAAGAUGGUUAGGAUAACGACAGUAGCACAUGUGUGACAUCCACCAACAUAUUUGCAAAGCAUCCCCCAUGUGCCAGACAUGGCAAAGAUGGUGGCAUGGCUUUCAGUAUGGAGACAGAGACAGUUUCCUGAGCCCAGCCAUCUCAGCUGACUGGAUCAAAACUGAGUUCAUGUUCCCAGGCCUUGGGACCUAGCUCCUGUCCUACUUGCUCAGGUGUUUGCUGUCUAUCUGUUAACCAGCAGAGGAUGUAAAAAGGGAAGUUGCUGUUAUCCUGGUGUCUAAACGAAGGUACACAAGUCGUAAAUGUUCUGUCUUCAUUUCACUAUUAGGAGCUGCUGCCCUACGCCUUCAUUCUCUUAUCAUUCUAAGUUCCUGGUUGGGGAUUUAGCACAAGGCCCUGGGUUCGGCCAGAUCAGAGUCCAGAGGGAACCUGACUGCAAACGCUGACUCAAGGACC
rnacentral:lncRNA from 1 species